rnacentral:rRNA from 1 species
UACGAAGGAUGCAAGCGUUAUCCGGAUUCAUUGGGUUUAAAGGGAGCGUAGGUGGCCUUAUAAGUCAGUGGUGAAAUCUCUGGGCUUAACCCAGAAAUUGCCAUUGAUACUGUAGGGCUUGAGUAUAGUUGCCGUUGGCGGAAUAUGACAUGUAGUGGUGAAAUACAUAGAGAUGUCAUAGAACACCGAUUGCGAAGGCAGCUAACGAAACUAUAACUGACACUGAGGCUCGAAAGCUAGGGGAGCAAACGGG